rnacentral:rRNA from 1 species
GACGAACCGUGCGAACGUUGCUCGGAAUCACUGGGCGUAAAGGGCGCGUAGGCGGGGAGGUAAGUCGGGUGUGAAAUCCCUCGGCCCAACCGAGGAACUGCGCCCGAGACUGCUUCUCUUGAGUCCCGGAGAGGAAGGUGGAAUUCCCGGUGUAGCGGUGAAAUGUGUAGAGAUCGGGAGGAACACCGGUGGCGAAGGCGGCCUUCUGGACGGUGACUGACGCUGAGGCGCGAAAGCGUGGGGAGCAAACGGG